rnacentral:lncRNA from 1 species
AAUAGGGUCUUGGAUGACCUCGAAGAAGUAUCAGUAGUUCUCGGAAUAGGUUGUAGGAUGAUUCUCUUUUUAUUUUAAUAUCACAUACAUUGGAGUACACGCCAAAUUUCAACAAUGAGUAAAGUUA